rnacentral:rRNA from 1 species
ACGUGAGUAACCUGCCCUUGACUCUGGGAUAAGCCUGGGAAACUGGGUCUAAUACCGGAUAUGACUUCUCAUCGCAGGUGGGGGGUGGAAAGCUUUUUGUGGUUUUGGAUGGACUCGCGGCCUAUCAGCUUGUUGGUGGGGUAAUGGCCUACCAAGGCGACGACGGGUAGCCGGCCUGAGAGGGUGACCGGCCACACUGGGACUGAGACACGGCCCAGACUCCUACGGGAGGCAGCAGUGGGGAAUAUUGCACAAUGGGCGAAAGCCUGAUGCAGCGACGCCGCGUGAGGGAUGACGGCCUUCGGGUUGUAAACCUCUUUCAGUAGGGAAGAAGCCCUCUUUGGGGGUGACGGUACUUGCAGAAGAAGCGCCGGCUAACUACGUGCCAGCAGCCGCGGUAAUACGUAGGGCGCAAGCGUUAUCCGGAAUUAUUGGGCGUAAAGAGCUCGUAGGCGGUUUGUCGCGUCUGCUGUGAAAGACCGGGGCUCAACUCCGGUUCUGCAGUGGGUACGGGCAGACUAGAGUGCAGUAGGGGAGACUGGAAUUCCUGGUGUAGCGGUGAAAUGCGCA